AGUCAAGAGUCUUUGGCAUCGUUUUGAUGAGCGGAUUUCUUUUGCCUCAACGUAGGUGAAGGAAAAAUG
rfam:Rhizobium lusitanum strain P1-7 genome assembly, contig: Ga0061101_116